GUUAGAUAAAAAAAAUUCCAAGACAUUGUCAUGUAGGUGGCACUGUGGUGUAGUGGUUAAUCUCUCUUAAAUAUGUUACUGGAAGUAGAGGUAUGUUUCUAUUUAAAUCUGGAUUUUAACUGGUAUAACUAACACUAUGAUUUUUUUGCAGUGCCCAAUACUGUGAAAAUGUUAUGGAAAUAUUGUUACUUUUUGGUUUUCAUUGAGAGGAGCAGUGAGAUAAUGACCCGUGAACUAGCCCAAGGUCAAAUCUGGAGCACAGUGUUUUAAAAGGGACCCAUCUAUCAUUAUGAACUGAGCUACUUUUAAUGAAUAAAAACUGGAUCAAAAUGAAUACUUUGUCUUUUUUAAUUACCCUAAGCUCUGGUGAAAGCAAAUAUACACUCAUCUCUUUCACAUCAAGAUUUUGUUGUUUCUCAUGCAACCAUUGUUGAACGUUUUUUAUUGAACAUUGAUAGUUUGUUUACAGGAUGGGAGUCAAAAAAACAUUAUCUGCAUAACAUGAUUCUGAAAAUGCACACAGGAGAAACAGUAUAGUCCUAAUAUAGAGUCUUGCAGGACUCCAAUAUUAAUUUAUGGGUUUGAAUUUAAGUUGACCAGAUUUGACAAUUUGAGACAGAUAUGACUUUAUCAAAAGCUUUACAGAAAUCAAUAAAAACAGCACCUGGGACAUGACCUUUGUUUAAUACUGUCAUGAUCCCUGUCAGUCCUGCCAUUUUUUUUGUGCAACUUUUCCCCUCCCCUCUAUGUCUGACCCUGGAGCUGGGCGGAGAUUUGGACUGCUCCCGUGCACACCUGGACCUAAUCCGCAAUCAGCUGCACCUGGGGAGGAUAAGAGGAGCCAGAACCUGAGACUCAGCGCCAGAUUGUCUGUGUGUCUUUGUGAUCCCGCUCCCUGGACCCGCUCAGCUCUUCUCCACCGGUACUGUUCAUCUCGUCUCAGACUGCUACUCCUGCUGUGUCCCUGGACCAUAGCAAACACUCCACUCACAACUCACUGAUCAAUCUACUGUUAUAUUGCACUUUGAAAAUCUGUAAAUAAACACUGUUAAACCUUUCCCCGAGUUCUGUCUCUUUGGUCCC
ensembl:lncRNA